rnacentral:lncRNA from 1 species
GGUGGCUUAGUAGAAGGUUGAGUCAGGCAAGCUGGGGCUGUUUAUUCAGUGUGCUGUGCUGUGCUGUGCUGUGCUGUGCUGUGCUGUGCUGUGCUGUGCUGUGUCUGAAUGCCUGGGAGUUUGCGUUGUUAACCUUUCCAGGGUGCUAGAUCCCUUUGAGAUUAUGAUGGAAGCCAUGAAUCCUUUUCCCACACCUGUAUGCAAACAUGUGCCUGCCCAUUUACAGACCCAAAGAAGGACAUCCAUGUACCCCACGUUAAGAAGGCUGCCCUGGACUAAGCCCUCACUGUGACUCUGCUGUUCUUAAGCUUCCCAGGAAACACUGUUAUGUAAAAAGACGAGCCAUCCAGGUCAAAAAGAAGUCAUUGUGGUUGCUAGGUGGGGGUGCAAAGCCAAAGACAAAGGGUGGGGAAAAUACAUGACUAAUAAUAAAUAAAGAGCAUGGUUAAUACCAGAGUCUCCAAACUGAUAGCCCAGAAUCCCUCAACAUGUAGCCACGAGUAUUUGUAAAGUACGUUGUGAAUUCAGGUAGAGGGCCGAAGACUCAAUAUUAAGCAGUUGGGCAGAGUUUUCAUACAUAUAUUUGUCUCUGCCUUUUGCACAAUAUAAAACUAUGAAAUCUCUUUUCAUUUUUCUAUUGUGCACGCUACCACAUUAGGUAGGAAUCAAAAUCAUCUCAACUCCAGAAGUAUAAUUCAUAACAAUUAUAACAAAGCAGAAAAAUGAUUCUACAUUAGCAGAAGAAAUGUAGUAGGAAUAGAUUUAAAAUAGCAUGGUUGAGUACAAAAGAAACAUCGUUUUUUAAAAAAUGGCAGCCUUUAUCACUCAUCAGCUAAACUUAAAGUCAAUGCUGUGAGGCUGUUGCGGGAAAAAAAUAGUCAUGAUUCUUGGGUGUAUUAAAAGGAGUAUGACAUAGAAGGGUAAGAAAACAAGACGUAGUGUGUUUGUCAGACUCAUCAUUGUGUCCUGUUUGAGUCACACUUAAAAAAAGAAUUUGGACAAUUGUGAAAAGCUGAUACACAAGCAACAGAAAUUACACGCCCUUCCAGGAAAAGAUAAGGCAACUGAGGAUUUUAUUCCACACAAGGCUGGAGGAUUUUUUGCUAAUGGCCUUUAAGUAGUAACAGUCUGGUUUAUCCUUAUAUUCCUAGGGCCUUCCGCUCUGCCUGGUGCACAGUACUUGAGAUGAUCGUUGUGUUUAGUGAUAAUGAGUAAGGUUCCUGUGAGAGACUUAGCAGGAGUAAGUAGGUUCAAAUAAAACCAGCGAUAGUGUCAUGACAGACGGUAUAUAAUACAUGAAUUUGCUGGGUGAUUAAUACAUAAGGAUGACUGUCUCACUUGUGAGGAUGAUAUAAUACUUCAGCAGCUAACUGGGGGAAGCUACAAAAUCUUGGUUUGAUACCUCUUUCAGGAUGAAAGCAGAUAAGUCUGCUGGGGUGGUGGAAACAUUCAUUCAUUCAUUCUACAAACCCUGAGGGCCUACUUGGCUAGGUGCUCACGGUCUGGUAGAGGAGACAAAGAUACAAAAACAGAGUCACAGUGUGUAAUGAGUGCCAUGGGAGCAUAAAAACAGCAUGCGCAGGGCUUGUGACACUCAACCGCCACCCCGCGCAGCUUCCAAUGGAGGCAAAGUCACAAUUGACCCCAAUAGACAGGCUUGACAGAGUUAGUUGGAUGGGAGGCAGGUGGGGCAGCCUGUCCAGAGGCGCAGACCUGUGUGUGUGGGGAAGGGGUGAUGGGAGAUGCAGACUCGGCAGUGCUUGUUAACAGAGGUGUGAAUGCCGCGCCUUGCUUGCCUGAAGAUUUCCACCCAGGAUCCUGACAAAAGUCAGAUGUGCACUUCAGAAAGGCCAGGCGGGCUGCAGUGAAGAGAAUGACUCGAGGGGGUGCGGGUGUGGGACAGGCCAUCGAGGCAAGGAGGCCAAAUGGAAAGCUUUGGUCAGGACACAGGUGGUGAUGGAUUCGGGGGAGAAAUGGGGGAGGGUGACGCAGGCAGAGUGGCCAGGGUUAUCAAGUGGCAUCAUUCACCACAAAAUGCAGUCCAAGAGGAAGCCCAGCUGUGAGGGGGGGACAGGUGGGGCCCAGGUGUGAGGGGGGAUAGGUGGCAUUCAGACAUGUCAGUACACAGAGUCAAUGGCAGAGACAGAGCCAGUGGGCAGUUGCACCAUGUGGAUAAGGACUUGAGUGAGACCUGUCUCCAAAGCAGGGGAUCACUCUUCUAAUUUUUUAUAUGGUGUUUUUCAUUCUAUUCUGACUCAUUUGUAAUAAAACCUCCUUUGUUUUUUAUCAUAUAUAUUUCAGGUGUCAACAUGCUGGUUUGAUAUAACAUGUACAAAGCAAAAUAAUAACUUACACUCCAGCUACAAAAAGGUUACAUUCUUUUUGGUUCAUCUACUCAGAAGCUAUUUAAUGAAUGUUCACUCCAUGUCAGGCAUGUGGCAUGUUUUCAUCUCUACCAGUAACGCUGAACUUUCUUCUUGUGUGCAUCAGCCUGUUGUUUUCUUUUGUAAAUGUUCUGUUCGUGUCCAUUAUCAACUUUUCUACUAGGGUGUGACUGUUUCUAUGAUAUAUUUAUAACGAUGUGUGUGUGUGUGUGUGUGUGUAUACGAUAUUUGGGGUAAAUACUUUUCCCAGCUUCUUUGACUUUUAAUUUUGCUUAUACUUUAUUGGAAAUACAGAACCUUUAUUUUAUUAUUAUUAUUAUACUUUAAGUUCUGGGAUACAUGGGCAGAACGUGCAGGUUUGUUACAUAGGUAUAAACGUGCCAUGGUGGUUUGCUGCACCCAUCAAACCACCAUCUACAUUAGGUAUUUCUCCUAAUGCUAUCCCUCCCAUAGUCCGCCACCCACCAACAGGCCCUGGUGUGUGAUGUUCUGCUCCCUGUGUCCAUGUGUUCUCAUGAGAACCUUUAUAUUUUAUGUAGUGGAGUAAGUUAUUUUAUCUUUUUUUUUUUCCUGUGUAACUUCUGUUACCUCAGGCUUAGGAAUUCCUUCCUACCCAGAAGUUAGAAAAUAUUCAUCUAUUUUUUUUUAAAGUUUCAUUUUUAACAUUAAACUCACCAAAUUAGAAGUAAGAUGUGGCCAGGCACAGUGGCUCACACCUGUAAUCUCAGUGCUUUGCGGGGGCUAAGGUGGAAAAAUCACUUGAGGCUAGGAGUUCAAGACAAGCCUGGGUAACACAGUGAGACCCCACCUCUACCAAAAAAUUUAAAAAUUAGGCAGGCAUGGUAGCAUGUGUCUGUAGUCCUAGCUGCUUGGGAGGCUGAGGUGGGAGGAUCACUUCAGCCCAGAAGCUUGAGGCUGUAGUUAGCUAUUAUCAUGCUAUUGCAUUCCAGCCUAGGCAACAGAGCAAGAACCCUGUGUCUUUAAAAAAAAAAAAAAAAAAAGUGUGAAACAAAGAUCCAAAUGGACUUUGUUUCACAAAGUAAAUCCCCCAUCAUGUUUUGAGUCAUGUAUCUUUCCCUAUUUAAUUUGUGGUGCUUCCUUUAUUUUAUAUUUCAAGACUUUUUGCUAUUAUAUCCAGCGGUAGGAGCCCAUGAACUUGUUGGAUAUUGGUAUGCACAGAAGAUGCGGUAAUACUUUUUUCCAAUAUUUUAUUAUGAAAAAUACACUGGCUAGAUUCUAUAAUUAAUAUUCUGUCACUUUACCAUCUAUUCACGUAAUAAUUCUUAAACUUCUCAAAUCAUUAUUUGAAUUUCAAAGUGGACUAUCAAAGACAUUUUCUCUAACCCUAUUUUUCUCUAAUUUGCAGUUUUGAUUUCCAGGAAGCCUUUAGCAAUUUAUAUUGUUAGUACAGUAAGAGAGUAAACAACACACUAAAAUACCAAGAGAAACUACUUUCCAAAACAUGUUUUAGUCGUUUAACUUUAUGAAUAUGGCUAGCAAGGGGGCUUCCUGGGGGACAGUGCUGGGGAAAGAGCAGGCCCUAGGAAUGGGCUUUGAAAGAAGACUUUUGCCACCGUCAGGUCACAUUUGCAAGAGGCCAUCGUCGUGGUCUGCCAGGGAACCCUUAGCAGAAAGGCUGCUUUGCCCAGGAUCUGGCUUGCCGCCCCAGACCAGCCCUACCGCUGUCUGGCAUUGAAUGUCCCUGGUCCGCAGUGAGUGGCCAGUUGCAUAGACCUUAGAUCAAGGAGCUUAGUCACCUCUUUCCAGCCUAAAUCAUGAGCACCCUAAAUUCCCAUGGGUUGUUGAGACCUAAUAGCAUCCUGGCUUAGAGAUGGGAUUGCAGCUGGGUCUGCACAGGAAACUGGCCUACUGUGUCUGCCUCUUGGUGCAGCAUACAACCAGCCACAUGGAAAAACCCAGCCUGCAAUAAAAGACUUGCUUUGGUCACCACCUGACAUUAGCUGUGGUUUAAUCUGUGUAAUGUUUUUCUUCCCCCCCAUCUAAGCCUCAAUUUCCUAUCCAUAAAAUAUGUUGGUUUUGGCCAGGCGUGGUGGCUCACGCCUGUAAUCCCAACACUUUGGGAGGCCAAGAUGGCCUGAUCGCCUGAGGUCAGAAGUUCAAGACCAGCCUGGGCAACAUGGCAAGACCCCCCCCCUCUACUAAAAAUACAAAAAACUAGCUGGGCGUCAUGGCACAUGCCUGUAAUCCCCGCUACUUGGGAGGCUGGGGCAGGAGGCAGGACAAUCGCUUGAACCCGACAGGCAGAGGUUGCAGUGAGCCGAGAUCGUGCCACUGCAACUCUAGACUGGGCCAUGAGCGAGACUCUUUCUCAAAAAAAAAAAAAAGUUGGUUUUAUUAGAUUACAGAGAAUACUUUCUCUAUCCAAAAUCUGUGAUUUUAAUCUAGAACACUGAAUGUAGGUCAGUAUCCACCCCAUUUUCAGAAAUCUGGGAAGAUCUUUUUUUGUUUUUCAGCUUCUCAGAAUAAAUACUUUCUAGGAUGUUACAAACAUGGAUGAAGUUCACCAGAACAGAUCCAGGGUUAACCUUUUAAAGUCAUUAGAUAUGGCUCCAGUAAAAGGCAUGAGAAGGCACCCGUGAGACCCUGCAGAGGAAGCCUCACUCCUGGGCAGCCUUACGGCUGACGAGCUACCUUACUGAGCAUAUUCCUGCCUCUACACCAGAGACUCACUCUGUGGUCCGGUGUCACCUCGAUUCUAAAUUCCCUGCUUCCUGGUGAAUGAUGCUAUCACACUUUAGAAACCUGGCCAAUAAAUGCUUUGAAAUUUAAGGAUAGCUAUCCUGAAAAAAUUUAAUAUAACCUAAAUUGAUAGUCUAAUGACAUCAGUAUUCAGAAGAGGCAUUCUAUUUCAGCAAGUGGUUUUCAGAAAAAAAAAAAAAAUAAAUAACCUGAGUUUUUCCCCUGCCACUCUCCCCUCUUGCUUUUAUGCUGCAAAAAGAGCUUGUGGCUUGCCUGACACACCGUGUUGUUCUCUGCCUUCGAAGAUCUAGCUCCCUCAGCCUCCCCACGUUGUCCACCUCUCCAAUACCAUUGCUCCACUGGGAAGCUGGCCCGGAGGUGCUCUACCACGUUCAUCUCUCGCAGCCCAGGGCUGUCUUUAACGUUACAGAGACACAGAUAUCAAAGUGUUGCAAUUUAUUUGGCUUUCAUUAAUUUGCCGGAAGCAAGGGAGGGUAGAUACAAAGUACUCCUCUAACCUGUUAUUUUCCUUGCUGUUAAAAUGUAAAGAAGACUGAUGUAAGAAUCUCUGCCUUCCACCAGUCAUAACCAUGGUAUGCACAGAGCUUAUGAAUCAUCUUCUAAAUUCACAGCUAGUUUUAAAAUUUAGCUUCCAGGCUAGAUCUGCAGGAAAUGAUUGGGAGAUCGUAAGUGCUAUGGAGUGAAUAUGAAGUUACUUACCAGAUCCCAUAAAGUUAGCUCAGGGAAUCCUGAGGAAGGUGUCACUCAGAAAGCUGCUUUCAAAGCUGAGUCAGACCUGCAUGGUGUUUAUUACCUCCAUUGUGUUACCAUGCCAAACAUAUAAAUAGCUUCAAAGUGAGUUCAGAUUAAAACACAGAAAAAUCUUUGGAUAUAUUCACAGGCCAGUGGGGGUCAUGUAACAAGUCAGCAAGGAAAAUAAAAGAUAUUUGAGGUACAGCCUCAACUUUUUAAGAUGGAUCUUGAAUAAAAAGGUCUAAUGAAAUAUUUUAUGGUAUUGCUCUCUGGGAUUUAAAAAAACAAAGCAAAACAAAAAAACGAGGGCACUGGAACAAUGUUUUAGAUAGAUCACGGGUGUUUUCCAGUAUGCAUUUUUAGUGCACUUACUUAACUGAGAGCCCUCUCAUAUGAAACUGGAAUGUCACCACCAUGUGAUAAAGCGUAGACUAGCUGUGACCUAAUACGUACUGAUCAUGACUAACGCAGAAGUCCAGGUCACUGCGGUUGUAUUUCCUGUGGCCUCAAUGUUCUGGGGUUAGGGUUAACAGGGAUAAUUCAUUUCUGUGUUCAAGUCUCUAAUUCUUCCAUCAUGUAAACUGUAAGUGGGAGCAGACUGGAUUCAGCAUUGCUACAAGAGAAAAACAACAAAUAGGAACACCACCAACACCAUGUGUUGGGAGCCCCAUGUGCCAGGCACUGUGCCAAAUACUCGAUAUUGAUUAUCUCUUUUAAUACACAAUCCUGUGUGGCAGAUCCUACUAUGAGACCCAUUUUACAGAUAGACAACUGAGGCUGGGGGAAGUUGGAAAUGGAGGAGCCAGGAUUCAAGUCACAGCAGUCUGGCUCCUGCGCCCAAGCUUUUAAUUUGUAUCCUAUUCACUUUUCAUAAAUAAAUGACUCGUGUUGGAG